AUUGAACGCUGGCGGCAGGCCUAACACAUGCAAGUCGAACGAGUGGCGGACGGGUGAGUAAUGUCUGGGAAACUGCCUGAUGGAGGGGGAUAACUACUGGAAACGGUAGCUAAUACCGCAUACCAUCAGAUGUGCCCAGAUGGGAUUAGCUAGUAGGUGGGGUAACGGCUCACCUAGGCGACGAUCCCUAGCUGGGCUGUGAGGAUGACCAGCCACAAUGGAACGGGGACACGGUCCAGACGCCUACGUGAGGCAGCAGUGGGGAAUAUUGCACAAUGGGCGCAAGCCUGAUGCAGCCAUGCCGCGUGUAUGAAGAAGGCCGUCGGGUUGGAAAGUACUCUCAGCGGGGAGGCGUUACCCGCAGAAGAAGCACCGGCUAACUCCGUGCCAGCAGCCGCGGUAAUAC
rnacentral:rRNA from 1 species